rnacentral:rRNA from 1 species
UACAGAGGUCCCGAGCGUUGUUCGGAUUCACUGGGCGUAAAGGGUGCGUAGGCGGCCGGGUCAGUCUGAUGUGAAAUCUCGGAGCUCAACUCCGAAAUGGCAUUGGAAACUAUCCGGCUCGAGGUUGGGAGGGGGGACUGGAAUUCUCGGUGUAGCAGUGAAAUGCGUAGAUAUCGAGAGGAACACCAGUGGCGAAGGCGAGUCCCUGGACCAAUCCUGACGCUGAGGCACGAAAGCCAGGGGAGCAAACGGG